rnacentral:misc_RNA from 1 species
GAAUCAAACAGAUGGGAAUCAGAAAGAAGAUCUUAGAUGGAGUCCAUGAGGUGCAUAAGAAAGACUGGGAGCAGGGCAGUCUACCAACAGUACAGUACAGUAGGCAGCUAAGUUGUACAGAGGCAGUGGCUGUACUGGCAAACCUCAGCAAGCAUGCAGAUUACAUAGGAUGUACAGUGGCUUACAUAAAGGAGCAAAUCAAAGAAGAUCCCAAAUUAUUACAAGCAGGGCAGCAAGGCUAUGGCCACCAGGAUAUGUGCAAACAUACAGAUAAAGCCAUUAGAAAUACACAACAACUGUACACAGAACUUAAUUUACUCAGGGAAAGUUUAGCAAAGGUAACUGAGAAAGAAUACCAGGCUCCUGAUCUUAUUACAACUCCAAACAGGAAAAGGAAAACAAAACGGCUCAGAAGACUGGCAGUUGGGACAUUAAUAGUGGGCUCUCUUCUUGGUAUAUGCUUCUGGAAACGAGACUCUGUUUUAGACUGGAUCAGCAAUGCACGGGAUCAGCUGUGGACACAAUAAUAUAGUAUCACCAAGUUUAUUGUGUGACUUGGGAACACAAUACUUUUCACAUUACCUUGAUAUUAAUACAUGACUACAGGGCACUCCAAGAGUGUAGACCUUUGCCAAGGAAAAAAAAGGCAAUAAAAUGCUUUAAAUAUACUAGUAGACACAGAUUUAGUUGAAAUUGAUCACUUUUUUCUCUCCUGAAUAACUUUUACAUCCUGGAAAUUUCAUAGUUGGAAGGAUUUCAGAUUGGAUUAUACUGGUGGUGCUUGUACUGUAAAACAUUUUCAUAUGGAUUAUUUCAAUUCUUUCAGAAAAAAAUGUGAUGUUUAUGGUUUGCUUAUUUAAUUAUAUUUUGCAAAGGGAUGCUGCACUGUUAUUACUGUGAUUAGUUGAAGAAGGAUUUAUGAUGCUUGUAUUGUUGAUGGAUUUCAUAUGAAUGCACAAAAAGAUGUUUAUGUCAUGGGUUUAAAUGUAAUGCAUUUAAUUUAAGUAAAAUUGAGGGAGAGAAAGGUAAGGAGGGAUAUUCACACGCAUGCAUGCGCAUAAAGAAAGUUCAGAAUAUUCUGCAGUCUGACAGGUUGGCAUCGAGGCAAGGUAGGUCCUUAUGAUCUCAUAGUCUUAAAAUACGUUAUUAUCCAUUUUAAUAUAAGUAUAAUGUUUUCUUUACAAUAUUCUGAACUCGAUAAAAAGAACAUGCAAAGCUCUACAUACCCUGUGACGAAUAUAAACAAACAAAAAUAAUUUUAAAACUUUGAGACCAUGCCAAGCACUUAGUAUAAUGAUAACAUAAUAUCUACAGUGUGAACCUAAAGAAGACCCAUUUAAUGUUGAGAAUGUAUUUGUCAGUUGUCAUAAUCAUCUAUACCGUAUUACGAAAUCAAUGGGAAUAAGUACGUAAAGCUUCAAUUAUAAAUAGUUGUCAGUUCCCAGCAUGACAAAUGAAUAAAGUGUUUUUAAAGUUGGCAUAGGGAUACAACUCGCAGCCGCCCAAGCAUGCCCUUAAAAUUUAUAACAUUGGUGUAAAUGAAGCUAUAUAAUAGCCACAUAGAAUCUCUGACUUAAUUCAUCUUCGCGUUCGUUCAUCUUGAAUACACGUGCUUGGUUAUUUGAAGAAUUUCACUUGACGCUAAAUUAUUAUACGGUCUAAACACGAGAUGCUUUGCUUGAAAGCAAUGUUGAUCGUUUUAUGUUUACCAAGAGUUUCUGCCAUAAAAUUUACCUCGAAAUCCUACGAUGAAGUCAUUGGCAUAGCGGAUUUAACCGGUGUAACGUC